rnacentral:lncRNA from 1 species
GUUUUGUUGUUUUUGCUUUUUUAGCGCUAUAAGAUCGAUAUUAAAGACAUGGUUUUCACCCCUCUUCAUCAACGCAAAUAAGUUCUCUCUUCUUUUUGGACCCCUGUUUUAUACCACAAUGCAACAAGCUUUAGAACUAGCUUUGGAUCGUGCUGAGUAUGUCAUUGAAAGUGCCCGACAGAGACCUCCUAAAAGGAAAUACCUGUCUAGUGGAAGGUAUGAAUACUUGAUUGAUAUCU